rnacentral:rRNA from 1 species
AUGGCCGAGGAGACCAAGCAGGAGGCCGCUGCGGCGGCGGCGGUGGCGGAGGUGGCCGUGACGGAGCCGGAGCCGGAGACCAAGGCGGAGGACAAGGCCGUCGAGGUGGAGAAGGUGGACGAGGCGGCGGCCGCGGCCAAGGAGGAGGAGGAGGAGGAGAAGAAGAUGGAGGAGGCGGUGGCGGAGGCCGGCGCCGACGAGGCGGCGGUGAUCGAGGGCAGCACCGCCUCCUUCAAGGAGGAGAGCAACCUCGUCGCCGACCUCGCCGACCCCGAGCAGAAGGCGCUCGCCCAGCUCAAGGAGCUUGUCGCCGCCGCGCUCGCCAGCGGGGAGUUCGACCUGCCCCCGCCCCCGCCCCCGCCCGCUCCGGCGGCCGAGGAGCCUGCCAAGACCGACGAGCCAGCCAAGAGCGAUGUGGCGGCCGAGAGCAGCGAGCCCAAGGCCGAGGCCCCCGCACCGGAGGAGCCCAAGGCGGAGGCGCCGACCCAGGAGGAGCCCAAGGCCGAGGAGCCUGCCAAGGAGGAGUCCAAGGCGGAGGCGCCGGACCAGGAGGAGCCCAAGGCCGAGGCACCGGCGGCGGUGGCUGUCGUGGAGGAGCCCAAGGCGGAGGCACCGGCGGCGGUGGCUGCCGCGGAGGAGCCCAAGGCGGAGGUGACGGCCGAGGAGGCCAAGCCGGAGGAGAAAACCGUCGUGGUGGCCGAGGAGGAAGGCACCAAAACCGUGGAGGCCAUCGAGGAGACCGCCGUCCCCGCCGCGUCGGAGCCGGAGGCAGCGCCCGCUGCCGAGCCGAAGGAGGAGCUGAUCUGGGGCGUGCCGCUGGUGGGCGGCGACGAGCGCUCGGACACGGUGCUCCUCAAGUUCCUCCGCGCGCGCGAGUUCAAGGUCAAGGAGGCCAUGGCGAUGCUCAAGGCGGCCGUGCUGUGGCGCAAGAGCUUCGGCAUCGACGCGCUCCUCGGCGCCGACCUCGGAGUGCCGGAGCUGGAGAACGUGGUGUUCUACCGCGGCGCCGACCGCGAGGGCCACCCCGUCUGCUACAACGUCUACAGCGAGUUCCAGGACAAGGACCUCUAUGAGAAGGCCUUCGGCGACGACGAGAAGCGGAGUCGCUUCCUCAAGUGGCGCAUCCAGCUCCUCGAGCGCGGCAUCCGGGAGCAGCUCGACUUCUCGCCCAGCGGCAUCUGCUCCAUGGUGCAGGUCACCGACCUCAAGAACUCGCCACCCAUGCUCGGCAAGCACCGCGCCGUCACUCGCCAGGCGCUCGCGCUGCUCCAGGACAACUACCCUGAGUUCAUCGCCAAGAAGGUGUUCAUCAAUGUGCCAUGGUGGUAUCUCGCGGCAAACAAGAUGAUGAGCCCGUUCCUCACACAGCGCACCAAGAGCAAAUUCACGUUUUGCAGCCCAGCCAAGACCGCCGAGACCCUAUUCAGAUACAUCGCGCCGGAGCAGGUCCCUGUCCAAUUUGGCGGCCUCUACAAAGAGGAUGAUACUGAAUUCUCCACUUCUGAUGGCGUGACCGAGCUCACUGUCAAACCUUCUUCCAAAGAAACUGUUGAGAUUCCUGCUACUGAGAACUCCACGGUCGUGUGGGAGCUCCGUGUGCUUGGAUGGGAGGUGAGCUACGGCGUGGAGUUCACCCCGGACGCAGAGGGCGGCUACACUGUCAUCGUGCAGAAGACGAGGAAGGUGCCCGCCAACGAGGAGCCAAUCAUGAAGGGUAGCUUCAAAGCGGGCGAGCCUGGCAAGGUCGUGCUCAUCGUCAACAACCCGACAUCGAAGAAGAAGAAGCUGCUGUGCCGAUUCAAGGUGAAGAGCUCCACCGAAGCCUCCGCCUGA